CACAAUUUCUUUUUAUCCCCCCCCCUUUUUCCCCAAAAAAAUUCUUUCCCUCAAGAUAUGGUCAUAAUCUCAAUUCAAAUUUCCAAUGGAGUUGGCAACCAUAAUUACCCAUUUAAAUUUACCAUAGUGCUAACUUAAUCUAUUUUAAAAUAGAAUUAAAAAUAUAGUGUCAAAUCUUUCAUAUGGAUUUUUUUGUAAAAAAAAAAGAUGCAACAUUUGCAGAUAUUUUUACUGGUCUUCCUUUAUAAAUAUGCAUUUCUUUAAACAUAAUUUAAAAGCAGUGUAAGGGAAGUAACCAAAACGUUGUAUUUGGAUUACCUCCCUUACACUGUUUUAAAUUAUCUUUAUUGUUCAUUAACCAUUACUUUAUACAUAAUUUAAAAGCAGUGUAAGGGAGAUAAUUUCAAUGAUGAAUUUGAUUUAUCUCCCUUACACUGCUUUAAAUUAUGUUUUGUACUAAAGUAUUUGUCCAUUAACCAGGACAACCUUGUUUUUCCCCCCUUUUUGCCCCUAAUUCCUAAACGGUUUGAGCCAUAAAGCCCCAAAGCAAAUCCAAACCAUCCCUUUGUGGUAUGGAAACUUGUAGUAUAAUUUCAGAGAGAUCCAUACACCGUUCCACAGUUAUUGUCUGGAAACUAGAAAAUGAUUAUUUUUGGCCCCUUUUUCCUUAACUGUUGGUACCAUAACCCCCAAAAUCAAUCCCAACCUUCCUUUUGUGGUAUUUAACCUUAUAGUCAAAUUUCAAAAAGAUCCAUUCACUUAAACUAAAGUUAGAGUGCGAAAACCAAUGUGUCUUCGGACGACGACGACGACGACGACGACGACGACGACGCCAACGUCAUACCAAUAUACGACCACAAAAUUUUUUUGCGGUCGUAUAAAAACUUAACUAUAACCACUGAACCAUGAAAAUGAGGUCAAGGUCAGAUGACACCUGCCAGUUGGACAUGUACACCUUACAGUCCUUCCAUACACCGAAUAUACUAGACCUAUUGCUUAGCCUUGUUCACUGAUCCAUGAAAUGAGGUCGAGGUCAAGUGAAAACUGUCUGACGGGCAUGAGGACCUUGCAAGGUACGCACAUACCAAAUAUAGUUAUCCUAUUACUUAUAAUAAGAGAAAAUUUAACAUUACAAAAAAUCUUAACUUUUUUUCCAAGUAGUCACUGAACCAUGAAAAUGAGGUCAAGGACAUUGGACAUGUGACUGACGGAAACUUCGUAACAUGAGGCAUCCAUAUACAAAGUAUGAAGCAUCCAGAUCUUCUACCUUCUAAAAUAUAAAGCUUUUAAGAAGUUAGCUAACGCCGACGCCGCCGGAUCACUAUCCCUAUGUCGAGCUUUCUGCGACAAAAGUCGCAGGCUCGACAAAAACUGUAAUUGUGAAAUUGACAAAAUGAGACUAGGGGGGGUAGGGCACUUAAAGAAAAUUUUGGACCAUUUUAAAGAGAUUGUGACGGACAACGACUAUAUAGGUGUUGUAGAGGAGACAUUGGCGCAUCGUUUAAGAAAAUCUCUAGAGUGGUUUAUGUUCGAAAAUCUGAAGUUAUGAUAAAAAACUGUAAUUGUGAAAUUGACAAAAUGAGACUAGGGGGGGUAGGGCACUAAAAGAAAAUUUUGGACCAUUUUAAAGAGAUUGUGACGGACAACGAAUAUAUAGGUGUUGUAAAGCAGACAGUAGCGCAUCGUUUAAGAAAAUCUGCAGAGUGGUUUAUGUUCGAAAAUCUGAAGUUACGGUUAAAAAACUGAAAUUGUGAAAUUGAAAAAAUAAGAUUAGGUGGGUAGGCCAAUUUAAGUUAAUUUUGGACCAAUUUAAAGAGAUUGUGACGGGCAACGACUAUAUAGGUGUUGUAGAGGAGACAUUGGCGCAUCGUUUAAGAAAAUCUGCAGAUUGGUUUAUUUUCGAAAAUCUGAAGCUACGGUUAAAAAACUGAAAUUGUGAAAUUGACAAAAUGAGAUUAGGGGGUAGGACAAUUUUAAAUAAUUUUAUACCAAUUUAAAAAGAUUGUGACGGACAACGACUAUAUAGGUGUUGUAGAGGAGACAUUGGCGCAUCGUUUAACAAAAUCUCCAGAGUGAUUUAUGUUCGAAAAUCUGAAGUUACGGUUAAAAAACUGAAAUUGUGAAAUUGACAAAAUGAGACUAGGGGGUAGGGCACUAAAAGAAAAUUUUGGACCAUUUUAAAAAGAUUGUGACGGACAAUGAC